UAGCCGUAAACGAUACUCGCUAGGUGUCGGCCACGGUGCGACCGUUGUCGGUGCCGUAGGGAAGCCGUGAAGCGAGCCACCUGGGAAGUACGGCCGCAAGGCUGAAACUUAAAGGAAUUGGCGGGGGAGCACAACAACGGGUGGAGCCUGCGGUUUAAUUGGAUUCAACGCCGGAAAUCUUACCGGGACCGACAGCAACAUGAAGGCCAAGCUGAAGACUUUGCCGGAUUAGCUGAGAGGAGGUGCAUGGCG
rnacentral:rRNA from 1 species